AGAAAGUAAGCCAUUUUGGGGAAGAAAAGUGUUUUUUUUUUGUGUGGUGAAUUUGUUACGUGGAGCUCUGAGCAAAGACAGCGAGAGCGAAGGGCCUGAAGCAGACAUGGAGCCAGUGAAAGCAGGCUCUUCUGGGAUCCUUCUGCUUUUUAAGGUAGACGUAACAGAGAAAAUGUAUCUUGCUGCCUCCCACCUCUACUGUAACAUCCAACAGUGAGGGUUUUUUUUGUGUGUAAACCAGAAGCUGUCAUUACUGUUUGCCACAUUAAUGUGCCACAAACUCUAUCACUGACAUUCGACGGUACGUCCACAUUCCUCCUGCUUGUUUCCCGCAAUCACUGGGCUGUGUGCAAGCACAACGGGAAGUCUGAUGAAGAACAUAAAGCUCUGUAAAAGUGAAACCUAACCAAGUCAACCCCCACCUGUCCAGACAUCCGUGCGGCCGGGGUGGUUGGCUGAGGUGGAGCAGGAUGACAGCUUCAUCCUCCAAGACUCUUGGAUUCCUUCACACCCACCCCCUACUCUUUUCCUGUCCCUCCAACACCCUCCAGAAAUCAUCAGAGCGAUGGCGGGAAACAGAGCCCAGCCACCUCCACCUGGUCAUUGCCAGACAUACACCUGCUGCCUCCUUCACCUGUGUCCUCUCCUCAUGCUCUGCAACUCGUCUCAGUCUUUUCGGUUCCUCAUUCCUGACCUUCGUUUCAUGCACUCAUAUGUGCGGAUAAAACCUGGUUCUUUGCGUUUGUCAUGCUUUGUGUCCACACCCUCCCAUAUUUAUUUAUACCGAACGCUCACAAGAGCAAAGGUGAAGUGAGUCGAGCCAGUUGCUCCCCACCUCUCUCCCAGCAAUCCUGGGAUGAUCCCUGGCUGAUCGGUAACCAUGACUACCUGACAGUGAAAGCACGUCUCCAUCCAUCUGCACUGCAGCAAUCGCUUCCACCUUGCCAAGCACUAACCUUGGCGCCCUUCCUUCCAUCAGUCCUUUCCCCUGCAAUACAAGUGCCAUUAAUUCAGAGAGGAGAAGAUAAGGUCGAGGCUGCUGGCUUCCUGAAAGCACUGGCACCACCGGAUCUGAACUCCGUCCACAAAGGCAGGAGAGGGGGAGCAACAAGAAACAGGGGCCAUGAAUAAUUCAUGGUCAACAGAAAGUCCCUGGAAAGCUUGUGUGUGAAGUGAAAACUUGAAAUGAUUCGUUUUUGUUUUGUUCUUUGCUGGAAAACAGCUCCUUAAGGUUAAAUAUAACUAAAGCAACCAAAUCACCUGAAUUUUAAGAUAAUUAAAGACACCCCCUUUACUUGUUUGA